GAUGAACGCUGGCGGCGUGCCUAAUACAUGCAAGUCGAGCGAACAGACGAGGAGCUUGCUCCUCUGACGUUAGCGGCGGACGGGUGAGUAACACGUGGAUAACCUACCUAUAAGACUGGGAUAACUUUGGGAAACCGGAGCUAAUACCGGAUAAUAUAUUGAACCGCAUGGUUCAAUAGUGAAAGACGGUUUUGCUGUCACUUAUAGAUGGAUCCGCGCCGCAUUAGCUAGUUGGUAAGGUAACGGCUUACCAAGGCGACGAUGCGUAGCCGACCUGAGAGGGUGAUCGGCCACACUGGAACUGGGACACGGUCCAGACUCCUACGGGAGGCAGCAGUAGGGAAUCUUCCGCAAUGGGCGAAAGCCUGACGGAGCAACGCCGCGUGAGUGAUGAAGGUCUUCGGAUCGUAAAACUCUGUUAUUAGGGAAGAACAAAUGUGUAAGUAACUAUGCACGUCUUGACGGUACCUAAUCAGAAAGCCACGGCUAACUACGUG
rnacentral:rRNA from 1 species